rnacentral:lncRNA from 1 species
UUUCUCCCGUAUUGUAGAUGUCAAAGUUUGACAACUAUGGUCUUCUCAAAUCCCGUGGAACAAGCAUUCCACAUGAAGAUGAUAUUCCACGAUUCGAUCGAGGAACAAGAGAUCAUGCUUCACUUCCUCGUCCUCCUCCAAUUAUUCCCCCUAACCCACAAGUCCAAAGGCUUGAAAAGUUCAAAAAUUACUCAAGACUUUUUUGGCAAGUAAACAUAAAGAAGGAAAGUCGGUGUGUGCACACGUCCUAGGGAUGAAGUCGCACAUUGAUAGACUAAGAAUGUUGGGAUCCGUUGUUUGUGAGGAAAUAGCUGUUGAUUGGGUUCUUCAGUCACUUCCUAACUCAUAUAGUGAGUUCGUAAGAGAGUACUAUAUGAUGAACUACGACGUGACCCUUAUAGAUCUCACCUACAUGCUUAUUGCUGCUGAAUCAGCAAUGAUUUGGCGCAAUAGAAAAGCAAAGUUGAUUGGUGAAUCUGCCUUCGAGACCUCUAUGGAUAUAGACAAUGGCAACGAAAGACAUGCUAUGAUCGAAAAGUUUGAUCAUAAGAGAAAGGCAAUGUCUAAAGUAGUUCCAUGUCAUGCUCCAAAAGAGUCAAUUUGCUUUUAUUGCCAAGAGAAAGGGCAUUGGAGACGAAGCUGCCCUAUUUACCUAAGAGAUCUAAGAGAUGGGAGAGUCGAAACGUAUGGCUCUAAUAUAGGUAAAAUCCAUUGACUAACUCUUUUAAGCUUCAUUCUAGAUUCUGAAUACAUAAUGUGAUAAGAUUACAAUUGAUGUUUUGUAGGAUCGAAGAAAAGAAAGGAAGCUUAAGGGAAGAAGUGAGCAGAAUCUAACCAUGAAGGAAUGGAUUUCGAUCGCAUUUCUCGAAGAUUAGAUUCUUGAGCUACUACUUAGAGUUAGAAUUAGAUUGCUAAGAAAGAUGUAUUAGCAUAGUUUUUCAAUGAAUUGCAUUGUAAGGACAAAUUUUUUCCGCAAUAAAAUAAAUUUUGAUUUUAUAUUAUUUAUUUAUCCUUGCAAUGGCGUAUAUGAAAAAUUGAUGUUUGAAUGUUUCUAUUAUUAGCAAUAAUGGAUUUGGUUCUUAUUAUGUUAUUUAUGGAAAGUCGAGAAUUUACCAAAUAGGGAGAGUUUCUCAUCGCCCAAGUUUCAAUUGGACAGAAACUUGGAAUCAUGCAACUUGGUUGCACGAUGAAUGAGAAAUUUCAUAUUUGGAAAUUAGACUAAUUCAUUGACAAAGUGUCAAGUGAAGGACUAGGAGAUCGAGUACACAAAGUUGCGUGUUGAUCAAGUCCACCAUAAGAGUAACAAAGAUAUUCGUCAUGAUUUACUAAAGGUUUAGUAAAUAUGAUUAUACUUAUAAGAUUAAGUGUAAUUCUGAAUUGAUUGAAAAAGUUUAAAUCAAUAGCAGAACGAAUAAGAAGAAUCAAGUAGGCAGAAAGAUAAAAGUUUCUCCAUUCUAAGAAGAAGGGAGAGUACCUUUUAUGCUUUAUGAUAGGUCUUAAUGAUUAAGAACCAUAUCUCAAUUGAUCCUCUAAGUGAGUCUUAGUACAAUUGUAUGUCUAAGAAGAGGAAUCAAGAAUUGAAGAAAUGGUUAAAUCAAGAAGUCAAUCAUACUUCGUUCCAAAACAAGUCUUAGAGUUAAGAUUGUGACAUUGAGUGAUAAGUAUUAAGAAGGUUUAUAACAUUCAUCAAAUGUGGAAAGUUGUGAUGUCUUGGAUAAGACAAAGACCAACUAGGACCAAUUUAUGAAGUGUUUUGAUAAAAACUACACUAACUCUUGAAUAUUUGUUUGUCAAGAAAUGUUUAUUGACAAGAGAAUCUUAUAUGUCAAGGAGUCAGUGGGAGUCUUAAUGGUCUUGAAAGGUUUCAAGAACAAAUCAAAAAAACCUUAUCGAUCAUCACUAGCACACGAGUUGAGGUUUACAACCUAUCGUGUUGACAUUAUUUUGUUUCUGUGCCAAUCCAAUCGAGUUAAUUAUGCAUGUGAGUUCUAUGAGUUCUCAUUUUGAACGCAUAAAAGGCAAAGCACCUUAAUCAAUGAAAGGUACAUUGAUAGGAAAGGGUGAGCUGCUUAACUACUUGGAAGACAUGGUGGGCAGCUGUGCUACCAUAAGGCAAGAAAUCAAGAUUAAGAAAGUUCGGUCCAUAUGAGUUUGAAUUUGUCGUAAACUUUGGUUUUAACAAAUUCACAUGGAUAGGAACACAUACACCGUUUAAAUCUAAGUGUCAUAAGAUUUCCUCCUUCAUGAAAAUGAUUGUGAGGAAAUGCUUUCACUAAGAAAGAUUUUAAGAAGAUAGUGAUUGUAAAAUUGCAUUCUCGAAUUCGAUUAUGGUUACGGUAUCCCUUUCCAUAAUUUGAAUUGUGAGGUUUGGCAAUUAGUCUUAAUUGUUUAGACACACAUAUGAACUAUCGAAGGCAAAGGUGUAUAAGUUCAAGAAGCCUUGAUAAAAGAUUAUCAAAGCACUAAGUAUUAGAAACAUGAACUUAAGAAAUUCAAUAAGUAUUGUUUUUCUGAAAGUUAAGAUGUUUAUGAAUACAUGUCGAAGCUAGUGGGAGCAUAAGUGUUAUGUUUUAUAAUAAUCAUCAUGAUAGUGGGAGCAUAAAUGUUAUGAUUGUAUGAUUAUUAAGGCACGUAUUGCAAGUUGGCAAUAUUAAUUAUAGAAAACAAGAGUUAUACCUUGCAAAGUCGUAAGGGUUGUAAAGUUGUUUUGCUAUAAUUAAGGGAGAGAAUAUUAUGCUUCAUUUCAAAUCUAAAGGAUUAGGUUGAGAAAUGUUAAUAAAUUUAGUCAAAGGUACAUAGUGUGUUCUUAAAAUUUCGAUUAUGAUUACGGCAUCCCUCUUCACAAUUCGAAUUUUGAGAACAUAGCAAAUAAAACAUUAUGCGUCGUGUCCCAUACGCUUCGGGUAUAGGAUCGAUUGCAAAUGCUUUAAUGUUUGACCAUUCUAAAAUUUUCCAAAUGUCGAGCGCAUUUAGAGGGAAAAGGGACUAGAAUUGGUUUUGACUAAAAUAAUUAAACAACUAUCAAAGGACAAUCCAAAGUUCGACGAGGAUUGGUCGCUUGUGAGUAGUUGGAAGCAUGGUAUUGGAUGGACCAUAUCGACAUUAUUAUGAAUAGAAAAGAUUCUAUUAAGAAUGAGUUGUCAUAUGGAAAUUAUGGAAAUGUUUCCAUAUUGGAUGGACCAUAUCGACAUCAUUACGAAUAGAUAAGAUUCUAUUAAGAAUGAGUUGUCAUAUGGAAAAUAUGGAAGCGUGUCCAUAUUGGGAAUUGAAUAUUGAAAAUCUAUGUCUAGAUUAGAAACUUUUAUGCAAAAGGAUGUUCAAAGGAAUGUACUUUGAGUGAGAGACAUCAUAUCUAAGGAAUUGUCUUGUAACAAUCUCCGAUAGAGGACUUUGUAAUAUCAUUGGCAAUAGUCUUUGUGACUUUGGUGCAGUGACAUUACGAAAGGAUCAUUGCAUAGAAUGUUAGAAUCUAGCAUAUUCUAUAAGUAGCAAGAAUUUGAUAUUCUUUCACUUAUGAAAAAGGAUUUGGAGUUGUGAAAUGAGAAUGAUUGGAAAUGUGUUCAAUUUGAUCUAUUUCACAAAGUAAGAACCAUAGGUAAACAUUGUGUGCAUGCUAGGAGCAUGGGACAAGUGUAAUAAUUCAAGUAAGAAGUUGAUUACCCGAAACGACAAAUAAUGAGUAAUCGAUAUGGUGAUAAAUAAAAGGUGUUUUAUUUAUACUCAAAGGUUUGAGGCCAUAUGGGAUUAGUAUUAUUCUUGUGUUUCACAUUUGCAUGUUUUGACUUCCAGAAUAAUUGAGUUUAUUAAGAAUAAUCGAAUUAUUCGAACGGGCCACAGUCGUUCAUAUGUUGGAAGUAGAUAUGAAUGAAGACUGUCGUGAAUUGGUGUGUGGAUUGUCUAAAAGAGUAUUAGACAUAAGCAAAUGUUUGCUGCAACGUUCAUGAGUGCUUAUGAAUAUGAUUUGAGCAUUGGAUUAAACCCACGCUCACUUGGAUCACUCCAUGAAUUGUAUCACGAGUGAUUGGUGAGACGAUAACAUCUUAUAUUCUUGAAACCGAGAUGUGUGAGUUGUAUCUUGCAAAUCGGUUGCACAUUGAUAAUAUGUAAACGCACUAGUAACUUGGUGUUAUAAAACAUAUUGUUGUGUGUGAUUCGGUGAGUGAGUGCAAGCAAGCAUUGUAUCAAAGUUUAUCCGUUCCUUUUAUCCAAAGUAGGAUAAAAGCGAUAUCUUUGGGCCCCUCGAUGAUUUAGUGAUGACAAACGUAAAUGCUCGGCCGGGCUAGGGCUAAUUUGAUUUGUUCAAUUAGUCAGUCGUCAUAAAUCGGAAAUCGAGAUAUAGUACAAAGAGAAUGAUUUGAAAUCAUAUCUCAUAUGAUAUCUAGAAUGGAGGAAUAUAUGAUCCCUUAUCUAAGGACACGCGUAUCUGAUAGGAUCAGAGUUGACAGCGGCUUUGGAAAGCUACGAUUGCAGAUCAGGAUCUGAAGUCAUACGCAUAAUAGUUAUUAGACUUAUCCAAGUGGGAGACUGUUGGAUUAGUGUCUAAGUCCAUAACUAUUUUGGUAUGUACUUGACCCGAUGGUGCAUGGUCCUUUUGGGUUGCCUUCACCAAAGCAACUUGAUAGGAUGAAUUAUGGAGAGAAAGGAUUAAAUAUGAUUUAUUAAUAUAUUAUGAGAAUAAUAUAUUAAAGGAGAAAUCAUAUUGUUUAAUUAAUAUUAGUCAAUAAUUAAUUGGUAAUUAGUUUUGUGACUAAAAGAGAUUAAUUAAACUUAAGGGACUGGAAUUGUAAUUAUAAGAUAAUUGCAAUUUGGGCCAUGGAUUGCCUUAUAUUAUAAGGUGGACGAAUUCUAUGGGGGAAGCCCAUAUGAAAUCGUCCAAGGCCUUAAGGAAAGGGCUCCAUGGGUUGCUUAGGGCUUAAGCAUCCAAAUUAGGGUUUCCUUGUUAGAUAACCCUAAUAGCCUCACUAUAUAUAGAACCCUUAAGGCUCAAAAACGUGGGGAACUUCUUUUCUAGGGUUAGAACACGUUUUGGGCAGCCUCCAUCCUCUCUCCUCUUCAUCCUCUUGCUUAUGGUGUUUGUGAGCCAUUAGAGGAGUGACACUUGUGACUCUAAGCCUUCCAAAGUCAAUUCAAGGAGGAAUUGGGAUUGUUAUUGCUACAUAACAAUCAAGGUAAUAUCUUAAACCUAAUUAUAUGUUAAUAUUGAUUUCCAUAUGCUAGAAUUAGGGUUUAUAGUCUUGGAUUCAAAGCAUGUACAAUAGAGAAACCUAGAUCCAAGCAUUAGGGUUUGUAUGAGCACAUAGGAUGUCUUAUGACCAAAACCCAUCAGUGGUAUCAGAGCCUAGAUUGGUUUCUAUUGUAUUGAUGCUUGGUAUGUUGAACAAAUUUGAUUUUGUGCUUCUGGGGUCAAAACUCGUCGAUUUUUUUAGAGGAACUCGCUGAGUUCAUGAUGAACUCGACGAGUCCAUGCCUGACUCGAUGAGUCGGCUGGUCAGAGUGAGGGAAACCCGGUAUUUCUUGCUGUUUUUGGUUAAGGAUAGUUGCCUUAUCAUAUUAGAUCAAUAUAAAUCCGAUUUUAUGAUAUAUUUGACUAUAUUCUUGAUCUAAUUGAAGAUAUUUAUCAAUUAAUAAAAUAUUUGUUUCCUUAUGUGAUAAUUGAUUAAUUAUUUUGAUUAAAUUGGUAAAUUGUUUUGCAAGAAAUCAUUAAAUAAAUCAAAUAUGGAUAAUUAUGUGAUUAAAUGUUAAUUUAGAUUAUUUGUUAUUUGAUCCUUGUGGUUUGAAAAGUUUCAUAUUUUCCCCUUUAGGUUUUAUAGUUUAAAUUUGAACCCAAAAGUUUUGUUGUUUUGAAAUUUAAAUAGUUAAAACCCUAAUGUUUUGAAAAAGGUUUCAAAACUUGCCCUCAAGUUUUGGAAUUUAAAUUUUGAUUAAUUGUUUAAUUUUGAUGUAUAUUUAAAUUCUAAACCCUAAUGUUUUGAAAUGUUUCAAAACAUGCCCUCAAGUUUUGGAAUUUAAAAGUUGAUUAAAAGUUUAAUUAGGAAUGUUAAAUUCUAAAACCCUAGUAUUGUUUUGAAAAAGUUCAAAUCACACCCUUAUGGUUUUAUUAAUUAAUUAAGGUGUAUAAUUAAAAGAGGUUUAAUAAAUCCAUAAAAGUUUAGGUUUACAAUUUAAUUGAAUUAAAAGUAUAAUUGUUAAAUUAAACCACCUAGUAUUUUAAAAGUGUAAAAUACACCCUAUACUAUAUAUAUAACAUUAAAAGUCUAACAUUAUAUAUAUGUAUGAGUAAAAGUCAGUCUUACCGUUAGUAGGCCUCAUUCACGAAGCUGGUCUAUAAGGGGUGUUUAAGGAAAUUGCCUAUAAAAUGGCGAUUGAAUGGGUAUCCACUCUUACCCACCGCACUCUUGACUAGUGGAGGGUCGUUAGCCGAACGGGUAGGAUAGGACGAAACCUUCCAUUAUAAGUAUAAUGAAUUAUUAAAGUAACUAAAUGUUUUCAUAAAAUUCCCAAUCUUAGUUACUUAGGCAAAAGUGAAUUGAUGCAAUUCCAUGAAAUUACACUUUGUGCCCUUGCGAAGACGUUAGUGGAGCGUGUGUGGUUUACCGGCACACUAAAUGGUUCUAAGCAAAGGUAGCAAAGGGUGACUCAAUGUUUGUCAUAGUUCGGUGGAGCGUGUGUGGUUUACCGGCACAUCGAAUAGGUGACUGUAACAUGUGAGGGCACCAUGUAAGUUUGCAUGGUUAUUCACACCCGCUUUGUGAUCCUCGGCAUCCCAGUCACAAACAAGAGGGGCAUAUCGAGAUUUAAACAUGCCAUUGAAAGUUCAAUGAAUCUCAAAGGAUCUAGGAGUUUUCAUAGAUUUAAAACUUAAAUUUCUUUUUCGUUUUUCAUGGUGGAAAUUAGUGAAUCGUCAUUCACUUACCUUCAAAUAUUCUGCAAUUAGGGUUACGGCAUCCCUCUCCCGAGUUGUAGAAUAUUGUGUUGGGUCCUAGCCUUAGUAUCUCAUUUGGGUGAUUUACUAAGGACUCAAUCAAUCAACUAACUUGAAUUCGUUUUCUCCCGUUUUGUAGAUGUCAAAGUUCGACAACUAUGGUCUUCCCAAAUCCCGUGGAACAAGCAUUCCACAUGAAGAUGAUAUUCCACGAUUCGAUCGAGGAACAAGAAAUCAUGCUUCACUUCCUCCUCCUCCUCCAAUUAUUCUCCCUAACCCACAAGUUCAAAGGCUUGAAAAGUUCAAGAUCACUCAAGCCCUUUUGGCAAGUAAACAUAAAGAAGGAAAGUCGGUGUGUGCACACGUCCUAGGGAUGAAGUCACACAUUGAUAGGUUAAGAAUGUUGGGAUCCGUUGUCUGUGAGGAAAUGGCUGUUGAUUGGGUUCUUCAGUCACUUCCUAACUCAUAUAGUGAGUUCGUAAGAGAGUACUAUAUGAUGAACCGCGACGUGACCCUUAUAGAUCUCACCUAUAUGCUUAUUGCUGCUGAAUCAGCAAUGGUUUGGCGCAAUAGAAAAGCAAAGUUGAUUGGUGAAUCUGCCUUCAAGACCUCUAUGGAUAUAGACAAUGGCAACGAAAGACAUGCUAUGAUCGAAAAGUUUGAUCAUAAGAGAAAGGCAAUGUCUGAAGUAGUUCCAUGUCAUGUUCCAAAAGAGUCAAUUUGCUUUUAUUGCCAAGAGAAAGGGCAUUGGAGACGAAGCUGCCCCAUUUACCUAAGAGAUCUAAGAGAUGGGAGAGUCGAAACGUAUGGCUCUAAUAUAGGUAAAAUCCAUUAACUAACUCUUUUAAGCUUCUAUUCUAGAUUCUUAAUACAUAAUGUGAUAAGAUUACAAUUGAUGUUUUGUAGGAUCGAAGAAAAGAAAGGAAGCUUAAGGGAAGAAGUGAGCAGAAUCUAACCGUGAAGGAAUGGAUUUCGAUCGC